CCGGGAGGAAGGUGGGGAUGACGUCAAGUCCUCAUGGCCCUUACGGCCAGGGCUACACACGUGCUACAAUGGGCGGAACAAUGGGCAGCAAGACCGCGAGGUGGAGCAAAUCCAAAAAUCCGUCCCCAGUUCGGAUUGCAGUCUGCAACUCGACUGCAUGAAGUUGGAAUCGCUAGUAAUCGCUGAUCAGCAGGCAGCGGUGAAUACGUUCCCGGGCCUUGUACACACCGCCCGUCACACCAUGGAAGCCGGUAGUGCCCGAAGUCGUCGGACUAACCCGCAAGGGAAGUAGGCGCCGAAGGUGAGAUCGGUAACUGGGGUGAAGUCGUAACAAGGUAGCCGUACCGGAAGGUGUGGCUGGAUCACCUCCUUU
rnacentral:rRNA from 1 species